AGUUCAAACCAAUCAGACCAGCUGCAGCACAGUGAACUGUGGUCGGACAGAGGGAACUCUCACUCUGACAGUGACACUUCAUUGGUUCAGCAGACAGAGAUCACACCCACCAACUCAAGGGAUGUCAGAGAGGCCACGCCUCUUUUGUCCAAGUGGAGGUCUCGGUUCUGUUCACUGAUGUAGCACUCGGCUGUCUACUGAUUGAACAGUUCACCGAUUGUGUAUUGAUUGAUGACUGUUAUCAGUCUGACUGAACAAAGACUUUG